rnacentral:rRNA from 1 species
CGCGUAGGUGGUAGUGUAAGUCUGGGGUGGAAUCCCAGGGCUUAACCCUGGAACUGCCUUGGAAACUGUAUUACUUGAGUCAGUGAGGGGAGGGUAGAAUUCCUGGUGUAGCGGUGAAAUGCGUAGAUAUCAGGAGGAAGGCCUGUGGCGAAGGCGGCCCUCUGGCGCUGGACUGACACUGAGGCGCGAAAGCGUGGGGAGCAAACAGGAUUAGAUACCCUGGUAGUCCACGCCCUAAACGGUGGGCACUAGGUGUAGGGCUCGUAAGGGUUCUGUGCCGAAGGGAAACCAUUAAGUGCCCCGCCUGGGGAGUACGGUCGCAAGGUUGAA